rnacentral:rRNA from 1 species
UACGUAGGUGGCAAGCGUUAUCCGGAUUUAUUGAGCGUAAAGGGAACGCAGGCGGUCUUUUAAGUCUGAUGUGAAAGCCUUCGGCUUAACCGGAGUAGUGCAUUGGAAACUGGGAGACUUGAGUGCAGAAGAGGAGAGUGGAACUCCAUGUGUAGCGGUGAAAUGCGUAGAUAUAUGGAAGAACACCGGUGGCGAAAGCGGCUCUCUGGUCUGUAACUGACGCUGAGGUUCGAAAGCGUGGGUAGCAAACAGG